UAGAGACGGCGCGUCACCUGGUCAAGCCC
rnacentral:sRNA from 1 species